ensembl:rRNA 5S_rRNA 5S ribosomal RNA
GCCGGCAGCCAUAUCACCCUGCAACUCACAACUGGCAACCCGCUGAAGCUCAGCAGGUGUGAGCCUGGUCAGUACCUGGAUGGGAGACCUCCUGGGACAAACUAAGGUUGCUGCUGGAA